ensembl:lncRNA
CUGGGAUUUAGUAUGUGAUACUGGGAUCAAGGGUGUGUGAUUACUAAACUAGCCUUCUGAUUGGUUUGGUGUAGUUCUUGGUGUGGAUAAUGGGAAGGCCCACUCUGGAUGUGAGUGGUAUCUGCCAUAAGGGCAUGUGUGGACAGAAUAUAAAGGACAGAAAGAGAGCUGCUGGGGUCAUUGCUGCUACUUCACUGCUUGCUGCCUUCUACUUGCCUGCUCUGUGAUGCCCCUCUGCUAUGCUACCCUGCUUUGGAGCCAGCCAAUUAUGAAGCCAACCAUGAACCUCUACAAACUGAUGAUUUCCCUCUUCACAUUUAAUUCAAAGAGUCACGUCAAUAGGAAACAACACAGAUCCCAGGCUGAAACAGUUAGGGAAACAUCUGCAUAAUGAGGGAGGCUCAAAUUCACUUCACCACUGAGUCUCAGAAAAGAUCCUGUGAACACAAGAGGGGUUCAUAAGGAGAAGUGUCUCACUUUGGGAAGUUUUCCAGCAAUUCAACCAAAUUAAAAAAUUACUCCAUAAAAUGUCACCUGCACUGAUAAACUG